AUCGAACGCUGCGGCAGGCUUAACACAUGCAAGUCGAGCGAGAGGCGGACGAGUGAGUAAUGCUUAGGAAUCUGCCUAUUAGUGGGGGACAACAUCUAGAAAGGGAUGACAUUACCGCAUACUAAUAGCUGGACCUAGGUGGAUUAGCUAGUUGGUGGGGUAAAGGCCUACCUAGGCGACGAUCUGUAGCGGGUCUGAGAGGAUGAUCCGCCACACGGGGACUGAGACACGGCCCAGACUCCUACGGGAGGCAGCAGUGGGGAAUAUUGACAAUGGGGGGAACCCUGAUACAGCCAUGCCGCGUGUGUGAAGAAGGCCUUCGGGUUGUAAAGCACUGUCGGCGUGAAGACGUUACCCGCACAAGAAGCACCGGCUAACUCCGUGCCAGCAGCCGCGGUAAUUC
rnacentral:rRNA from 1 species